rnacentral:rRNA from 1 species
CUACUCUUGGACAGCCUUCUGAAAGGAAGAUUAAUACAAGAUGGCAUCAUGAGUCCGCAUGUUCACAUGAUUAAAGGUAUUCCGGUAGACGAUGGGGAUGCGUUCCAUUAGAUAGUAGGCGGGGUAACGGCCCACCUAGUCUUCGAUGGAUAGGGGUUCUGAGAGGAAGGUCCCCCACAUUGGAACUGAGACACGGUCCAAACUCCUACGGGAGGCAGCAGUGAGGAAUAUUGGUCAAUGGGCGAGAGCCUGAACCAGCCAAGUAGCGUGAAGGAUGACUGCCCUAUGGGUUGUAAACUUCUUUUAUAAAGGAAUAAAGUCGGGUAUGGAUACCCGUUUGCAUGUACUUUAUGAAUAAGGAUCGGCUAACUCCGUGCCAGCAGCCGCGGUAAUACGGAGGAUCCGAGCGUUAUCCGGAUUUAUUGGGUUUAAAGGGAGCGUAGAUGGAUGUUUAAGUCAGUUGUGAAAGUUUGCGGCUCAACCGUAAAAUUGCAGUUGAUACUGGAUAUCUUGAGUGCAGUUGAGGCAGGCGGAAUUCGUGGUGUAGCGGUGAAAUGCUUAGAUAUCACGAAGAACUCCGAUUGCGAAGGCAGCCUGCUAAGCUGCAACUGACAUUGAGGCUCGAAAGUGUGGGUAUCAAACAGGAUUAGAUACCCUGGUAGUCCACACGGUAAACGAUGAAUACUCGCUGUUUGCGAUAUACUGCAAGCGGCCAAGCGAAAGCGUUAAGUAUUCCACCUGGGGAGUACGCCGGCAACGGUGAAACUCAAAGGAAUUGACGGGGGCCCGCACAAGCGGAGGAACAUGUGGUUUAAUUCGAUGAUACGCGAGGAACCUUACCCGGGCUUAAAUUGCAGAUGAAUUACGGUGAAAGCCGUAAGCCGCAAGGCAUCUGUGAAGGUGCUGCAUGGUUGUCGUCAGCUCGUGCCGUGAGGUGUCGGCUUAAGUGCCAUAACGAGCGCAACCCUUGUUGUCAGUUACUAACAGGUUCCGCUGAGGACUCUGACAAGACUGCCAUCGUAAGAUGUGAGGAAGGUGGGGAUGACGUCAAAUCAGCACGGCCCUUACGUCCGGGGCUACACACGUGUUACAAUGGGGGGUACAGAGGGCCGCUACCACGCGAGUGGAUGCCAAUCCCCAAAACCUCUCUCAGUUCGGACUGGAGUCUGCAACCCGACUCCACGAAGCUGGAUUCGCUAGUAAUCGCGCAUCAGCCACGGCGCGGUGAAUACGUUCCCGGGCCUUGUACACACCGCCCGUCAAGCCAUGGGAGCCGGGGGUACCUGAAGUGCGUAACCGCGAGGAGCGCCCUAGGGUAAAACUGGUGACUGGGGCUAAGUCGUAACAAGGUAGCCGUACCGGAAGGUGCGGCUG